AGAGUUUGAUCCUGGCUCAGGACGAACGCUGGCGGCGUGCCUAAUACAUGCAAGUCGAGCGAACAGAAGGGAGCUUGCUCCCGGAUGUUAGCGGCGGACGGGUGAGUAACACGUGGGUAACCUGCCUGUAAGACUGGGAUAACUCCGGGAAACCGGAGCUAAUACCGGAUAGUUCCUUGAACCGCAUGGUUCAAGGAUGAAAGACGGUUUCGGCUGUCACUUACAGAUGGACCCGCGGCGCAUUAGCUAGUUGGUGGGGUAAUGGCUCACCAAGGCGACGAUGCGUAGCCGACCUGAGAGGGUGAUCGGCCACACUGGGACUGAGACACGGCCCAGACUCCUACGGGAGGCAGCAGUAGGGAAUCUUCCGCAAUGGACGAAAGUCUGACGGAGCAACGCCGCGUGAGUGAUGAAGGUUUUCGGAUCGUAAAGCUCUGUUGUUAGGGAAGAACAAGUGCGAGAGUAACUGCUCGCACCUUGACGGUACCUAACCAGAAAGCCACGGCUAACUACGUGCCAGCAGCCGCGGUAAUACGUAGGUGGCAAGCGUUGUCCGGAAUUAUUGGGCGUAAAGGGCUCGCAGGCGGUUUCUUAAGUCUGAUGUGAAAGCCCCCGGCUCAACCGGGGAGGGUCAUUGGAAACUGGGAAACUUGAGUGCAGAAGAGGAGAGUGGAAUUCCUCGAGGGCUCUUCCUGCA
rnacentral:rRNA from 1 species